UACGUAGGGUGCGAGCGUUAAUCGGAAUUACUGGGCGUAAAGCGUGCGCAGGCGGUUUUGUAAGUCUGACGUGAAAUCCCCGGGCUUAACCUGGGAAUUGCGUUGGAGACUGCAAGGCUGGAGUCUGGCAGAGGGGGGUAGAAUUCCACGUGUAGCAGUGAAAUGCGUAGAGAUGUGGAGGAACACCGAUGGCGAAGGCAGCCCCCUGGGUCAAGACUGACGCUCACGCACGAAAGCGUGGGGAGCAAACAGG
rnacentral:rRNA from 1 species